GACGAACGCUGGCGGCGUGCUUAACACAUGCAAGUCGAACGGAAAGGCCCUGCUUUUGUGGGGUGCUCGAGUGGCGAACGGGUGAGUAACACGUGAGUAACCUGCCCUUGACUUUGGGAUAACUUCAGGAAACUGGGGCUAAUACCGGAUAGGAGCUCCUGCUGCAUGGUGGGGGUUGGAAAGUUUCGGCGGUUGGGGCUGGACUCGCGGCUUCUCCGCUUGUUGGUGGGGUAGUGGCUUACCAAGGCUUUGACGGGUAGCCGGCCUGAGAGGGUGACCGGCCACAUUGGGACUGAGAUACGGCCCAGACUCCUACGGGAGGCAGCAGUGGGGAAUAUUGCACAAUGGGCGGAAGCCUGAUGCAGCAACGCCGCGUGCGGGAUGACGGCCUUCGGGUUGUAAACCGCUUUCGCCUGUGACGAAGCGUGAGUGACGGUAAUGGGUAAAGAAGCACCGGCUAACUACGUG
rnacentral:rRNA from 1 species